UACGGAGGGUGCAAGCGUUAUCCGGAUUCACUGGGUUUAAAGGGUGCGUAGGCGGGCUGGUAAGUCAGUGGUGAAAUCUUCGGGCUUAACCCGGAAACUGCCGUUGAUACUAUCUGUCUUGAAUAUUGUGGAGGUAAGCGGAAUAUGUCAUGUAGCGGUGAAAUGCUUAGAUAUGACAUAGAACACCAAUUGCGAAGGCAGCUUACUACACAGUAACUGACGCUGAGGCACGAAAGCGUGGGGAGCAAACAGG
rnacentral:rRNA from 1 species